UACGAAGGGGCGAGCGUUGUUCGGAAUUACUGGGCGUAAAGGGCGCGUAGGCGGCGAUCCUAGUCAGAUGUGAAAGUCCUGGCUUAACCUGGGGACUGCAUUUGAUACUGGAUUGCUUGAAUGCAGGAGAGGAUAGCGGAAUUCCCAGUGUAGAGGUGAAAUUCGUAGAUAUUGGGAAGAACACCGGUGGCGAAGGCGGCUAUCUGGACUGUGAUUGACGC
rnacentral:rRNA from 1 species